AAUGAACGUUGGCGGCGUGGAUUAGGCAUGCAAGUCGCGCGAGAAACCUCCUUCGGGAGGCGGAAAGCGGCGAAAGGGAGAGUAACACGUGGAUACCUACCCCCAGGUCUGGGAUAGCAGCGGGAAACUGCUGGUAAUACCGGAUAAUGUCUCCGGACCAAAGGUGAGAUUCCGUCUGGGGAUGGGUCCGCGUCCUAUUAGCUAGUUGGUGGGGUAAUGGCCUACCAAGGCAAAGAUGGGUAGCGGGUGUGAGAGCAUGGCCCGCCUCACUGGGACUGAGACACUGCCCAGACACCUACGGGUGGCUGCAGUCGAGAAUCUUCGGCAAUGGGCGCAAGCCUGACCGAGCGACGCCGCGUGCGGGAUGAAGGCCUUCGGGUUGUAAACCGCUGUCAGAGGGGAGGAAAUACCAGGGGGUUCUCUCCCUGGCUUGACCGAUCCUCAGAGGAAGUACGGGCUAAGUUCGUGCCAGCCGCCGCCGUAACAC
rnacentral:rRNA from 1 species